GAUCAGAUCCCCCCAAUGAGACCCCCUUAAUAAGAACUAGUAGAGUAGCUUAGAUCAUGUUAUUAAGCCUUUACAUGUCCAAGAAGAAAACAUGAUCAUGCAUUUGAAUUAGUGAGAGAGAAAAAAACAUGCGUGUAACGAUGAAUCAACUUUCGUUAAAACACGCUUCAUGGCAUUACAAUGACUGGUAUACAAUGUCUAUUCUGGACACAAAAGUCAUACAACAAG
rnacentral:lncRNA from 1 species